GUGGGUGUUUACAGUAAGGCUUGUUUUGCCUCCUUGACAGUGUAGUUCAAGAACCAUUUGAGGAAAUUGAAGCAAGAUCCUUUCCCAUAAUUUCUGAUGGAAAUAAGAGCGAGAACGAGCACACAAAUAAAUGCCUGAUCUAGUUAAUGGCGACAUUAUAACACAAAUACAUGUUUGAGGUCUACUGAGGUUCUUUUGAACAACAAUUUAAGACUGGGGCCAUGCAUAGAGCUAAGCUCAGCAGUAUUGAUGUAGUAUUGACAGUCUAGCUUCCUGUCCAGGGGGUGUACUUGUACAUCAAGCCAACUCACGGUACACGAAACAGCAGAUAAGCUCCUGCCCCUAUGGGCCACUCUGACUCGGACAAGGCUUACUUACUGACGACAACUGAAGGAUAGCAGAUGACCGGCCCUUCAUUCCCAAACCUGAAGCCCCCUGUCCACAGCAGGAAAGACCAGGAAAAAGUGUUUGCUUAAGAUCUGCCAACCAGGCACGGUGGGUGACAGGUAACUGUGUUUCCACCAAGCUGUUCCAUUCCUGGAGUGGCAUGCUGGAACUUCCAGAGGCUUGUAGACCUGAAGCAGUGUGA
rnacentral:lncRNA from 8 species